GGUCCCUGGAGUGGAUUUGGGGUCCCUGGAGUGGAUUUGGGGUCUCUGGGGUGGAUUUGGGGUCCCUGGAGUGGUUUGGGGUCCCUGAACUGGAUUUGGGGUUCCUGGCACAGGUUUGGGGUUCCUGGACUCGUUUGUGGGUCCUUGGAUUGGAUUUGGGGGUCCCUGGACUGGUUUUGGGGGUCCCUGGACUGGUUUGGGGUCCCUGGAGUGGAUUUGGGGUCUCUGGACUGGAUUUGGGGUCUCUGGAGUGGAUUUGGGGACGCUGGAGUGGAUUUGGGGUCCCUGGACUGGAUUUGGGAUCUCUGGACUGGAUUUGGGGGUCCCUGGACUGGUUUUGGGGUCCCUGGACUGGAUUUGGGGUCUCUAGAGUGGAUUUGGGGUCUCUGGACUGGUUUGGGGUCCCUGAACUGGUUUUGGGGUUUUUGGACUGGUUUGGGGUCCUGGGGCUGGUUUUGGGGUUCCUGGACAGGUUUUAGGUUCCCUUGACCGCUUUUGGGGUUUUUGGAGUGAUUUUGGUUUCCCUGAACUAAUUUUGGGGUUUUUGGGCUGGUUUAGGGGUGCCCAAAGUUCUUAUGGGGUUCCCGGGCUGAUUUUGGUUUCCCUGAACUGAUUUUGGGGUUUUUGGACUGGUUUGGGGUCCCUGGACUGGUUUUGGGGUUUUUGUACUGGUUUGGGAUCCUGGGGCUGGUUUUGGGGUUCCUGGACAGGUUUUAGGUUCCCUUGACCGCUUUUGGGGUUUUUGGAGUGAUUUUUGUUUCCCUGAACUGAUUUUGGGGUUUUGGACUGGUUUGGGGAUCCCUGAACUGGUUUUGGGAUUUUUGGACUGGUUUGGGGAUCCCUGAACUGAUUUUGGGAUUUUUGGACUGGUUUAGGGUUGCCCAAACUCCUUAUGGGGUUCC
rnacentral:lncRNA from 1 species